UAAAAGGGCUUCUGCUGUGAUUAGCAUGGGAGGGGUGGGGAGUUACCACUCCUCCUGCGGAAUCCCUAUCAAGAGAUUUCGGAAGCACAAUUUUUAAUUUGGGGAGGUGACAGUGGUGCUGUGAGUAGAGCAGUCGUCUCCCAA
rnacentral:snRNA from 1 species